rnacentral:rRNA from 1 species
UACAGAGGUCCCAAGCGUUGUUCGGAUUCACUGGGCGUAAAGGGUGCGUAGGCGGUCGGGUAAGUCUGAUGUGAAAUCUCACAGCUUAACUGUGAAACUGCAUUGGAUACUAUUCGGCUUGAGAGUUGGAGAGGGGACUGGAAUUCUUGGUGUAGCAGUGAAAUGCGUAGAUAUCAAGAGGAACACCAGUGGCGAAGGCGAGUCCCUGGACAACUUCUGACGCUGAGGCACGAAAGCUAGGGGAGCAAACAGG